CUCCAAACUGCUCUGCCCCGACCAUCCAACAAUUACCAGCACCGCUACCACAGAAACUGACUCAACACUGAUGAGCGAACUGAAUUACCAACAUAGACAUUGAGUCAACCGGUACGAUCGUUUAGCGGGCGGUACAGCCCCUUCCACUAGUGGAAUCGUAUGACCUACUUCGCGAUCUGGAGGAAGGCCUUUGAGCUCUUCG
rnacentral:lncRNA from 1 species